rnacentral:rRNA from 1 species
AUUGAACGCUGACGGCAGGCUUAACACAUGCAAGUCGAGCGGAGAUGAGGUGCUUGCACCUUAUCUUAGCGGCGGACGGGUGAGUAAUGCUUAGGAAUCUGCCUAUUAGUGGGGGACAACAUUCCGAAAGGAAUGCUAAUACCGCAUACGUCCUACGGGAGAAAGCAGGGGAUCUUCGGACCUUGCGCUAAUAGAUGAGCCUAAGUCGGAUUAGCUAGUUGGUGGGGUAAAGGCCUACCAAGGCGACGAUCUGUAGCGGGUCUGAGAGGAUGAUCCGCCACACUGGGACUGAGACACGGCCCAGACUCCUACGGGAGGCAGCAGUGGGGAAUAUUGGACAAUGGGGGAACCCUGAUCCAGCCAUGCCGCGUGUGUGAAGAAGGCCUUAUGGUUGUAAAGCACUUUAAGCGAGGAGGAGGCUACUGAGACUAAUACUCUUGGAUAGUGGACGUUACUCGCAGAAUAAGCACCGGCUAACUCUGUGCCAGCCGCCGCGGUAA